rnacentral:rRNA from 1 species
UACGUAGGGUGCAAGCGUUAAUCGGAAUUACUGGGCGUAAAGCGUGCGCAGGCGGUUUUGUAAGUCUGACGUGAAAUCCCCGGGCUUAACCUGGGAAUUGCGUUGGAGACUGCAAGGCUGGAGUCUGGCAGAGGGGGGUAGAAUUCCACGUGUAGCAGUGAAAUGCGUAGAGAUGUGGAGGAACACCGAUGGCGAAGGCAGCCCCCUGGGUCAAGACUGACGCUCAUGCACGAAAGGCGUGGGGAGCAAACGAGG